GUGGGGAAUAUUGGGCAAUGGGCGAAAGCCUGACCCAGCAACGCCGCGUGAAGGAAGAAGGUUUUCGGAUCGUAAACUUCUAUCCUUGGUGAAGAUAAUGACGGUAGCCAAGAAGGAAGCCCCGGCUAACUACGUGCCAGCAGCCGCGGUAAUACGUAGGUGGCAAGCGUUGUCCGGAAUUAUUGGGCGUAAAGCGCGCGCAGGUGGGAUCUUAAGUCCAGUUUGAAAGUUCGGAGCUCAACUCCGUGAUGGGAUGGAAACUGGGAUUCUUGAGUAGCGGAGAGGAAAGUGGAAUUCCUAGUGUAGCGGUGAAAUGCGUAGAUAUUAGGAAGAACACCAGUGGCGAAGGCGACUUUCUGGACGAAAACUGACGCUGAGGCGCGAAAGCCAGGGGAGCGAACGGGAUUAGAAACCCCUGUAGUCC
rnacentral:rRNA from 1 species